GUGUGUGUGUUCAUUUUUUUAAGUGGCUUGGGCAAAGGUGUUAGCUGUCAUGACAAAGCUUUGCCAGUGGUCUUGGUGCAUCCGAGAAUUUACCAAUUGGCUUAGCUCUGAUAAAUUAGAGGGAUGUACUCUAUAGUGUAGCUUAUUUAUUGGUUUGCUCACCUCCAACUGUUCUUACAGUUGUGUUGUAACCUCUUUUGACAUAGGUUGCUUUUCUUAUGGCUUUAUAUAUUGAAAACUGAUGGGAUUCUGCACUCAGGCACUGCAGCAAUAGCCUUGUGUACCCUCUGCCCUUCUGCUGUAUGGCAGUCCAUCAGGCGUCCUGUCUGGGGAGGCUGCUUCUCUUGCCUAUGUAACUGUUGCUGUUGUUUCUUGGCCUUUUCAAGUGUUCUGCCUCAGUGUUGUGUUUAAGAAUGCAUCUCUGACUUGUCGCUACUUUUUUUUUUUUAAUAUGAACAGGAUUCUUGUUAAAGUAACUUUGGUAUUUGUCUGAGAAAAGACUGGAAAUACAAGCAUCAUGUCUGAAGGCUCUACAAGUGCUGUCAAGGAUUCUCACAUAAACCUACACAAUUAAAGAUCUGCACUGUCCUUUCAAUAUGUGUUAAUAAUCUUUGGUAACUCAAGAGAAAAUGGAAAAUUUUGUGUCCAUAAACUGGUGUUAGUUUCUGAAGGAUUUUCUUGAUAAUACAGUAUAUAUUGGCAACCAGACAUAUGUGUACUUGUGAAAGGAUUGCUGUGGCAUAAUGAAGUAGGAGAACAGAAAAGGCCAACAAUCACUGGGAUGCUAAGCCUAUAAAGCAGAAGCUUGUGCAUUGUGAGAAUUUUGCUGUGGGAGGACCUUAGCACUGAAGAUUGCUCACUUUAGAGCCUAACUGAUCUACCAGGCUAAAGAAAAGGUGAGUUUAUCUGUUCACGUCACCAUGCUUUGGGCAUACACAGUUUACUUCUUUGUUAAAGCCCAAGGUCUGAGGUACUUUGGGAAGUAGGGUAUUCCACUUAGACCAGUGGUCUAGACUGUUAAAGCUAAAUUCUGUAGCUUGAACGUUGUAGUAAUUCUGGUUUGUUGUGAAUGUUGCAGAUGAAUAAAUUGGCUACUGAUUGCUGGAAGACAAACAAAAAUGCUGUAAAGGUGUAUUUUUCCUCUGAGUGGUACUGGAAAUGAAAAUACGGUGAUGAGAAUUGUGUGUCUUCUUAGGCAAAAUCUGUAGAUACCCUAAUGGAUGUUUUGCACAUUUGAAUUUGAAAAACAAACUAAGAUUGCUUAGUGUUACCUUUCAAAAACAUCCCAAGGUGUGUAUGCAUGGAUAGUUGUGAGGAUUGGGGGAGGUGUUCAUCAGUUAAAAUGACAUGCUUUUUCGUAGUAUUAAUGAUUUUAUUGAAAUAAAAGUACUGGUGUGUCAUAACUUC